ACUGCUGAAGUUUAAAGUUUAUGCGGAUUUAGUCUAGUUUAUGUUCUGCCUUUCAGUAUAAAAUAGAUUACCAGCAUUUUUUUUCCUAGUAGUAAUUGUUUUCAAUGAUUAUAGUGCUCUGUGAUAUGAUAAUAGCAGUUGCUUUUAUUUGUUGCAGAUGCAUUGCUAGGUAUUAGGGAGUUAUUGCUUAAAUUUCCAGCAGAGUUGAAAUCCCAUAAGAAUGUUGUCAUUGAGAAAUUGCCUGAACAUAUUAGUGAUGACGAUAAAGUAUUUCGUGAAACACUGUAUCAACUAUUUAAGUCCAUUAUCCUUCCAGGAUGCAAGGAGGACAUUCAGGGGGGCACCUAUAUCUCUUAUUAUGGCCUAUAUAUUUAAGGCAAUGACGCAUUUAGCAAUUUAUGUUCGCUUUAUGGCCUUUCAAAUUCUUUGAUCUUGUGGUUCAGAAUUAUCCUCCAACCUUUUUUACAUAUGCAGAAAAGUGGAGUUAGUUGUUGAGGUUAAGGGUUCAAAAUGGGAUGCCACCAACCUAUAGUUAAGGACUCAAGGACUUUUGGGGUAGUGUUGGAAAAUGAGGAACAAGAUUAUUAUGGCAGCCUAGCCUUCGUUCAAUAUGGGAGAAAUAUUUUGAAGAAGCCCAUGUUGUCAUUUAUGUUCUCGAUGCAAAUGCUCCAUCUCGUUUCGAAGAUUCAAAAUCUGCCCUAGGUACGCUGCUUUUGUAUUGGGUUCAGUUAUAGAUUGGCUGGAAUUCCAGAAUAAAGUAUUACCCAUUGAUGAAUUAACUAUCUUGCAUAAAAGGUUCU